AUUGAACGCUGGCGGCAGGCCUAACACAUGCAAGUCGAGCGGCAGCGGGACCUUCGGGUUGCCGGCGAGCGGCGGACGGGUGAGUAAUGCCUAGGAAUCUGCCUGUUAGUGGGGGAUAACGCGGGGAAACUCGCGCUAAUACCGCAUACGUCCUACGGGAGAAAGCGGGGGCUCUUCGGACCUCGCGCUAACAGAUGAGCCUAGGUCGGAUUAGCUAGUUGGUGGGGUAAUGGCCCACCAAGGCGACGAUCCGUAACUGGUCUGAGAGGAUGAUCAGGCACACUGGAACUGAGACACGGUCCAGGCUCCUACGGGAGGCAGCAGUGGGGAAUAUUGGACAAUGGGCGAAAGCCUGAUCCAGCCAUGGCGCGUGUGUGAAGAAGGUCUUCGGAUUGUAAAGCACUUUAAGUCGGGAGGAAGGGCUGUAGGCUAAUACCUUGCAGUUUUGACGUUACCGACAGAAUAAGCACCGGCUAACUUCGUGCCAGCCGCCGCAGUAACAC
rnacentral:rRNA from 1 species